UACGUAGGGUGCAAGCGUUGUCCGGAAUUAUUGGGCGUAAAGAGCUCGUAGGCGGUCUGUCGCGUCUGCUGUGAAAACCUAGGGCUUAACUCUGGGCGUGCAGUGGGUACGGGCAGGCUAGAGUGCGGUAGGGGAGACUGGAAUUCCUGGUGUAGCGGUGGAAUGCGCAGAUAUCAGGAGGAACACCGAUGGCGAAGGCAGGUCACUGGGCCACUACUGACGCUGAGGAGCGAAAAGCAUGGGGAGCGAACAGG
rnacentral:rRNA from 1 species